rnacentral:lncRNA from 1 species
GGGCGGGGCGGGACGCGAGCGCCCCUGACAGGUCGGAAACCCAGAGGCUGCUUUUCUCGCUGUUCAGUCACCAGCCCGCGGGGGAAGCCUUGGUCUGGGGCCGUGGACGCGAGCAGCGCGAGGGGUCGGGCUGGGGCAGCAGCGGGCACAGAACCUAGCCCCGGGAUGAGGGGUGUGGAGUUGGGUCGCUCCUUGGUCCUGCCCUGCGGGCCAACAGGAAGGACAUUUGAACCAACGUGGUGGACAAUCCCUGGACCAGUUCACUGAAAGCCAGCAUUAUAAAAGAAGAGAAACUGCCACACCCAUGUGCUUCCCCUAAGGUUGAAUAGCAGCGAUUGAUAUUCUAAACAGGUACUAAUCACCUGGGUUGGGGACCAAGAUCUUCCAGGAAAGUUCCCUGACCCACCCCUACCAUGAAAAUCCUCGCUCAUUCCCUGCAUGCUUUGCUACGUGACUUGCUUCCCUAUUGGAUCCCCAUUUAAUCAGUAUUACCUAAGUGACUAUACUUGUCAUAAUCUUAUUGGUUGUUCAUAGUUUUUUCCACCUCAUGAUUUUGCACUGGCUCAGUAUUACCCAAGCAACUGUACUUGCGAUCUUACUAAUUGACUGUACUUUUGUCCCACCUAGAACCCACCUCUCCUCAUGGCUUUAUCCUAUAAAACACCUUUGAGCAGUUGGGUGAGUGGGAAACCCAGUUUCUGGCCCCUCUUCUGUCUCUCUUAGGCAGAAGCUAUCUUUCUUUCAAUUUCCCUACUCCAAAACAAAAACAAUACCUGACAUUCACAAGCAUGACGGUAUUACAAUUAUGUAGAAAAACAUCUUUGUUCUUAGAAGAUAUGUAUUGAAAUACUUAAGGUGAAGUGUUAUGAUGUUUGUAACUUAGGCUCACUUAAUUUACAAACAUACAUACAGUGAAAGCAAAUAUGGCAAAAGGUUAAUCAUUGUGCAGAGGAUGGAGGGCAUUUGAGGGGUUGUUAUUCUAUUUUUUUACAGUUUCCCUGUAUGUUUGAAAGCGUUCAUAGUAAAAUUUGUGAGCUGAAGUAGCCACGAUUUCUAGUGCCAUCUCAUAGCAUACCCUUCAUAAAUAUUACAUGAAUUAAGUUGAAUAAUGUUAGUCAGAACCAAAGAGGUCAGCAAGAUGUUAUCAUCAGGGUAUUUGCCACCUUGCUGUUGCAG